rnacentral:rRNA from 1 species
GGAUNAGCNCNCGGCUCGGUCAGUGAGUUCAUGAGUGCCUUCUCUUCGGAGUUGGCCAUCCAUACACACCGNUGAACUGUUGGCUUCGGCCAUCACAAACUGUUAGUAAUGAAUGUAAUAUCAUAACAAAAACAAAACUUUUAACAACGGAUCUCUUGGCUCUCGCAUCGAUGAAGAACGCAGCGAAAUGCGAUAAGUAAUGUGAAUUGCAGAAUUCAGUGAAUCAUCGAAUCUUUGAACGCACCUUGCGCCCUUUGGUAUUCCGAAGGGCAUGCCUGUUUGAGUGUCAUGAAACCUCACCCCACUUGGGUUUUUGCCUGAGCGGUGGUGUAUUGGGUGUUGCCUUGCCAAAGGCUCGCCUUAAAAACAUAAGCACCUUGGAUGUAAUACGUUUCAUCCUUCUGGGUGGCUGAUAACCCCACAUAUUCAUGAUCUGGCCUCAAAUCAGGUAGGGCUACCCGCUGAACUUAAGCAUAUCAAUAAGCGGAGGAA